CCACUUUGGCCGUUCUUCAUUUUCUUCUCAAUUAUCGGGCUCAUCGAAAGCACUGAAAGAUCAAUGGAAAGUUUUCAAUUAGUGACGGCGAUGGUAGAAAUAAUUGCUUUUUCGUUAUAGAAAAUCAAUACAAUAUCGGUCCAAGAAGUCGUCUUCCUCGUCGUCUUCGUCUUCCAGGCAAUCUCGAUUCAUGAACUCAUAUUUACCGGUGAGAACGGUAUGAGAAUCGUCCUGUGUAACGCCUCUUCGUCCUCCAUGUCCUCCUCGAAUCCUCCGAACUCAUCCUCGAACGAAGAGAAAUCU
rnacentral:misc_RNA from 1 species